GAGAGAGAGAUGGGGAGGGAGAGAGAGAUGGGAAGAGAGAAAGGGGAUUGCAAGAAAGAAAAAAAGAGAGAGACGUUGUUAGAAAUACUUAGAAGAGAGAAUCCAAUUAAAUAGAUUAUAGACGUCAACACACUGUAUGUAAUGUAACAGAUUAGAGCGAUGUGUGUGCGUGAGAGACAGAGAGACUGUUUGCAAAAUAACCACUUUAAAAGGGACAACCAGGUGUAUGUAGGCCUGCCUCCAUUUAAUUGAUUGAUUAGCCAGGCUGAAGACGUGGCUGAAGACAGGUAUGACAGGUAUGUUAGCCAGCUUGCAACCGCUUCAGGCAUAAUGAACAGGUGUUCCCUGCACAGCAACCGCUUCAGGUAUAACCACCAGGCGGUCCCUGCACAGCAACCGCUUCAGGUAUAACCACCAGGCGGUCCCUGCACAGCAACCGCUUCAGGUAUAACCACCAGGCGGUCCCUGCACAGCAACCGCUUCAGGUAUAACCACCAGGCGGUCCCUGCACAGCAACCGCUUCAGGUAUAACCACCAGGCGGUCCCUUCACGUGGCAGCCGUGUUAAAAUGAGUCGGGUCGGAAACAACUCCAUCAGUCUUUGGCUGUUUUUCACCACUCGGAACUACUUGCUGGUGCUGUACUGCUGAAACAUUGUUCCAUGUAUUCUGUCCGGGCCGGGUUUUCUUUGCCCUCUUCCACUCUGCAGAUUUAUGUGUUUUUGUGCCCUGUAAUUAUUUAGUCCUUGGAUCGACACGUAGCUAAUAUAAGUACGUUUAUCAUGUUAGGAUCUCAGGCUUUGUGUGGAGAAAUAAAAUGACAAAGGUCUUAUUUCACAGACAGAGAUUAAGCCUUGUCUAGCACCGAAAAACCCAGCUCAGUGGAGUUCUCAUGAAGCCGGUGUGGUAGGUUUAGACACAAACUACGUUCCUGAAAUAGUCAACAUUUUCUGUGUGUUUUCUGUGAAUAGAUGUCGAUCUGCUGAUCCUAAUGUGGUUUUCAAAGUGUGAAACUAAGUCAGACUGGCUGUAGAGCUCAGAACCACAUAAGAAGAUAUUAGACAAAGAUAUGGAAGAGGGAUGGGCUGAAAAAGUGAUGAGAUCUGUACUUCAGUUCAUGUCCAUCUCCUUUUGACAAAUACAGAAAGAACCAAAGAAAUGGUUGCUUCAUACAUUUAUUUUGGGUGAAACCAUAGGUGCUCUCUCUCGAAAAAAUUCUAUGUUAUAUUGGCAGUUAAGUAUAUAGUAGCUAAAACAAAAUGUUUACAUACUAUUAACAAAAGAAUAUAUCCAAAACAUUGACUGUCAUAAAUACACUGACUUUCUAAAGUAAAAUAUUCAAACCUUUGA